GAUGAAGAACGUAGCGAAAUGCGAUAAGUAAUGCGAAUUGCAGAAUCCGUGAGUCAUCGAAUCUUUGAACGCACAUUGCGCCCCUUGGUAUUCCAUGGGGCAUGCCUGUUCGAGCGUCAUUUGUACCUUCAAGCUCUGCUUGGUGUUGGGUGUUUGUCUCGCCUCUGCGUGUAGACUCGCCUCAAAACAAUUGGCAGCCGGCGUAUUGAUUUCGGAGCGCAGUACAUCUCGCGCUUUGCACUCAUAACGACGACGUCCAAAAGUACAUUUUUACACUCUUGACCUCGGAUCAGGUAGGGAUACCCGCUGAACUUAAGCAUAUCAAUAAGCGGAGGA
rnacentral:misc_RNA from 1 species